CUCGGCUGUGGUAUGUCAUAUUUGUGCCAACUUUUUAGUGCCGUGUUUAAGUGAGUGUUCAGUGUUGUGCGUCUUUCCACAGUGUUGCGAACAGAAAUCAUGCUGUCGCUGGGUGUGCAUUUUAUAUCUUGCGAACAGAAACCAGACUGUCGCCAUGUUUUUUUAACUGUCUGUCUGUUAUUUUUCUGCUUCUUGUGUAUUACCUUAGCAUCAUAAACCAUGUGUUUUAUGUUUUAAGUUCUAGAAUUUUCUGCCAUUUUACCUUUAAGUCACCGAUUUUAUCGCCAACUAUUAUUUUUUAUUAUCUUCAUCUUUUUAACACAAAUUCUGUAGGCUGAAGAGCGGCGUAGUAAGCUGCUGCCAGCCCGCCCCCUUCGGGGGGGAAUUGAAAUUCAAUAAAGAAAAAAAAAAAAGUUAUUGACGCAGGUUUCUUGCCAAAGAACUUGCAGAAGAAUCUUGCUUAAUUCUUGCGCUGCUGUGUAAACACAGCUGCAAGCGGCUAGCAAUAACUUGCAGCAAUAACUUCAUAACUUCUGCAAGCGACUUGCUAGUGUAAACCCAGCUUAAAGCUGGGAUACAAUACACACUUUCCUUCGUGGUGUCUUUGAAUACUUUCUUCGUAGGCAAAUUAUGUGCAAGUAGUGACAAGAAUCUGUAUAGUAUACGUUCUUGAUAUAUGGAAAGUAACAUUUGACGGUUAUUCUGGCGUUACCCAUAUAGCUGUUAACGUUUUUAUGUUAUUUCUACUUCUGAGGAAUGCAAUCUAAGACAGUUCGUAUUAUAACGUAUGGAUUCCACGGUACGUGGCCCUAGGAAUGGAGGUACUCUUUCAAGUUUAUAGCGGCCGGGAUUCAAAUCCAGAUCUGCUGCUCACAAGGCAGAUGUGCUGACCACUAUACCACCCAGGCACAUUGGCUUUUCACAACUGCAUGGGCUACCGUAGCACACCUCUCCCCUCAAUCUACUGUGCCAGCGUGGGGUAGUGGUUAGUGCAGUGAGCAGGAGACCCAGGGGAAGGAAGUUUAAAUAAAAGGGAAGAGUGUAGCAUUCAUGCUGGAGGCCAUAGUUCCUGGUUUCCAAAUGAUCAGCUCAAUAAUGGCACAGAUUUAGUACCAAACGGCAAGCUGAAGUACUUGAUUUGGAUCACUGAAUCGAGGAAAUACCAGUUCUUGCCAAUAAUGGCACAUACUUAUUAUCAAA